rnacentral:rRNA from 1 species
UACAGAGGUCUCAAGCGUUGUUCGGAUUCAUUGGGCGUAAAGAGCUCGUAGGCGGUGUGUCGCGUCGGCCGUGAAAACUGUGGCUUAACUAUGGGCUUGCGGUCGAUACGGGCAUCACUGGAGUUCGGCAGGGGAGACUGGAAUUCCUGGUGUAGCGGUGAAAUGCGCAGAUAUCAGGAGGAACACCGGUGGCGAAGGCGGGUCUCUGGGCCGAUACUGACGCUGAGGAGCGAAAGCGUGGGGAGCGAACAGG